GGAGGCACCCUGAUUCAUCCCGUCGCGACAUCGCCCGUCGCCCCGUCGGCCGGCUCCCCUACCAUUGGAUCCAUCACCCUUAGCUUCCACCUCAAUAAAUUUGGCGCUCCAAACUCACCAGCGAAUAGGCGAUGACUUUAUAACUCCUAUGUUUCUUCCAUCGGUGUCCAAAUCCAGCAGCACUGCUUCUUCAUGCACGCAGGAAACUUCUGUAAAUAUCAAACUGAACAGAGAGAGAGAGCUAGGCUUCACCAGACCCCAUGAUAUUGGAGCUACGUUGCAAAUUGCUAUUCUAAGAGCUAGUACCAGGAUGAAUCAUCUCAGAGGGCUAGUACCAAGAUGAAGAACCCAAUGCAAUUGAAACAUAUCAAGGUGUGCCACUGAAGUAGGGAAAAAAAGGUUGCAACCAAAUGCAAUUGAAACAUAUGCUAUUUUACAUAUGUAGGUUGCCAAUG